rnacentral:rRNA from 1 species
GACGAACGCUGGCGGCGUGCUUAACACAUGCAAGUCGAACGGAAAGGCCCUGCUUUUGUGGGGUGCUCGAGUGGCGAACGGGUGAGUAACACGUGAGUAACCUGCCCUUGACUUUGGGAUAACUUCAGGAAACUGGGGCUAAUACCGGAUAGGAGCUCCUGCUGCAUGGUGGGGGUUGGAAAGUUUCGGCGGUUGGGGAUGGACUCGCGGCUUAUCAGCUUGUUGGUGGGGUAGUGGCUUACCAAGGCUUUGACGGGUAGCCGGCCUGAGAGGGUGACCGGCCACAUUGGGACUGAGAUACGGCCCAGACUCCUACGGGAGGCAGCAGUGGGGAAUAUUGCACAAUGGGCGGAAGCCUGAUGCAGCAACGCCGCGUGCGGGAUGACGGCCUUCGGGUUGUAAACCGCUUUCGCCUGUGACGAAGCGUGAGUGACGGUAAUGGGUAAAGAAGCACCGGCUAACUACGUGCCAGCAGCCGCGGUGAUACGUAGGGUGCGAGCGUUGUCCGGAUUUAUUGGGCGUAAAGGGCUCGUAGGUGGUUGAUCGCGUCGGAAGUGUAAUCUUGGGGCUUAACCCUGAGCGUGCUUUCGAUACGGGUUGACUUGAGGAAGGUAGGGGAGAAUGGAAUUCCUGGUGGAGCGGUGGAAUGCGCAGAUAUCAGGAGGAACACCAGUGGCGAAGGCGGUUCUCUGGGCCUUUCCUGACGCUGAGGAGCGAAAGCGUGGGGAGCGAACAGGCUUAGAUACCCUGGUAGUCCACGCUGUAAACGGUGGGUACUAGGUGUGGGGUCCAUUCCACGGGUUCCGUGCCGUAGCUAACGCUUUAGGUACCCCGCCUGGGGAGUACGGCCGCAAGGCUAAAACUCAAAGGAAUUGACGGGGCCCCGCACAAGCGGCGGAGCAUGCGGAUUAAUUCGAUGCAACGCGUAGAACCUUACCUGGGUUUGACAUGGAUCGGGAGUGCUCAGAGAUGGGUGUGCCUCUUUUGGGGUCGGUUCACAGGUGGUGCAUGGCUGUCGUCAGCUCGUGUCGUGAGAUGUUGGGUUAAGUCCCGCAACGAGCGCAACCCUUGUUCACUGUUGCCAGCACGUUAUGGUGGGGACUCAGUGGAGACCGCCGGGGUCAACUCGGAGGAAGGUGGGGAUGACGUCAAGUCAUCAAGCCCCUUAUGUCCAGGGCUUCACGCAUGCUACAAUGGCUGGUACAGAGAGUGGCGAGCCUGUGAGGGUGAGCGAAUCUCGGAAAGCCGGUCUCAGUUCGGAUUGGGGUCUGCAACUCGACCUCAUGAAGUCGGAGUCGCUAGUAAUCGCAGAUCAGCAACGCUGCGGUGAAUACGUUCCCGGGGCU